rnacentral:rRNA from 1 species
ACCUACGGCCAUGCCACCCUGAACACGCCCCAUCUUGUCUGAUCUUGGAAGCUAAGCAGGAUCAGGCCUGGUUAGUACUUGGAUGGGAGUCCACCUAGGAAGACCAGGUGCUGUAGGCA